CCGCAAUAGUAAGGAGGGCUAUAGCUGCUGAGGUCCCGUGUCCCCAGCAUUCAAGUCUUUGAAUCAGUGUGCGUGAUUACAUUUCUAAGUUGUCAUAUAUCUACACAACAUUUUCAAAAAAAAAUAUAUAAGAAGAAACUAGAACUGAUGGGAGAGUUGCUGUGUCGGUAUUGGUUGUUUUCUAUUUAUAUGUAAUAUCAAAACUUGAGUUCAUUUGCUAGGAUGGUCAAGCUACGAUUGUUUU
rnacentral:lncRNA from 1 species